AUUGAACGCUGGCGGCAGGCCUAACACAUGCAAGUCGAACGAGUGGCGGACGGGUGAGAAAUGUCUGAGAAACUGCCCGAUGGUGGGGGAUAACUACUGGAAACGGUAGCUAAUACCGCAUACCAGCGGAUGAGCUCUGAUGGGCUUAGCGAGUAGGUGGGGUAAUGGUUGACUUAGGCAACGAUCCCUAGCUGGUAUGAGAGGAUGACCGGCCACACUGGAACUGAGACACGUUCCAGACUCCUAAGGGAGGAAGCAGUGGGGAAUAUUGCACAAUGGGCGCAAGCCUGAUGCAGCCAGGCCGCGUGUAUGAAGAAGGCCUUCGGAUUGUAAAGUACGUUCAGCGAGGAGGCGUUACUCGCAGAGAAAGCACCGGCUGACUCCGUGCCAGCAGCCGCGGUAAUUC
rnacentral:rRNA from 1 species